rnacentral:rRNA from 1 species
UGUGGCCUACGGGGCGCAGCAGUGAGGAAUAUUGGUCAAUGGGCGCAAGCCUGAACCAGCCAAGUCGCGUGAGGGAAGACGGCCCUACGGGUUGUAAACCUCUUUUGCCGGGGAGCAAGCCUGAGCACGUGUGCCCAGGCGGAGAGUACCCGGAGAAAAAGCAUCGGCUAACUCCGUGCCAGCAGCCGCGGUAAUACGGAGGAUGCGAGCGUUAUCCGGAUUUAUUGGGUUUAAAGGGUGCGUAGGCGGAUUUUUAAGUCAGCGGUAAAAUGUCCGGGCUCAACCCGGGCCGGCCGUUGAAACUG